rnacentral:misc_RNA from 1 species
GAUGAAGAACGCGGCGAAAUGCGAUAAGUAAUGUGAAUUGCAGAAUUCAGUGAAUCAUCGAAUCUUUGAACGCACAUUGCCCCCGCCAGUAUUCUGGCGGGCAUGCCUGUUCAAGCGUCAUUUCAACCCUCAAGACCCCUUCGGGGGACUUGGUGUUGGGGACCGGCACAGGGGCCUGCCUGCUUGUCUUGCAGCGCCCUCGCCGCCCCCGAAAUGAAUUGGCGGCCUCGUCGCGGCCUCCCCUGCGUAGUAGCACAACCUCGCAACGGGAACGUGACGGCGGCCACUGCCGUAAAACAACCCCAAUUUUAUUAGAGUUGACCUCGAAUCAGGUAGGAAUACCCGCUGAACUUAAGCAUAUCAAUAAGCGGAGGA